ACUACGGGAGGCAGCAGUGGGGAAUAUUGGGCAAUGGGCGCAAGCCUGACCCAGCAACGCCGCGUGAAGGAAGAAGGCUUUCGGGUUGUAAACUUCUUUUCUGAGGGACGAAGAAAGUGACGGUACCUCAGGAAUAAGCCACGGCUAACUACGUGCCAGCAGCCGCGGUAAUAAGUAGGUGGCAAGCGUUAUCCGGAUUGAUGGGGUGUAAGGGUCGUGUAGGGGGGAGAGCAAGUAAGAUGUGAAAAAUCAGGGCUCAACCCUGGGCCUGCAUUUGAAACUGUUUUUCUUGAGUGCUGGUGAGGCAAUCGGAAUUCCGUGUGUAGCGGUGAAAUGCGUAGAUAUACGGAGGAACACCAGUGGCGAAGGCGGAUUGCUGGACAGUAACUGACGCUGAGGCGCGAAAGCGUGGGGAGCAAACAGGAUUAGAUACCCUUGUAGUC
rnacentral:rRNA from 1 species